CCCUUAGAGUUUGAUCCUGGCUCAAGACGAACGCUGGCGGCGCGCCUAACACAUGCAAGUCGAACGAGAGAGAGGGAGCUUGCUUCCUCAAUCGAGUGGCGAACGGGUGAGUAACGCGUGAGGAACCUGCCUCAAAGAGGGGGACAACAGUUGGAAACGACUGCUAAUACCGCAUAAGCCCACGGGUCGGCAUCGACCAGAGGGAAAAGGAGCAAUCCGCUUUGAGAUGGCCUCGCGUCCGAUUAGCUAGUUGGUGAGGUAACGGCCCACCAAGGCGACGAUCGGUAGCCGGACUGAGAGGUUGAACGGCCACAUUGGGACUGAGACACGGCCCAGACUCCUACGGGAGGCAGCAGUGGGGAAUAUUGCACAGUGGGGGAAACCCUGAUGCAGCGACGCCGCGUGGAGGAAGAAGGUCUUCGGAUUGUAAACUCCUGUUGUUGAGGAAGAUAAUGACGGUACUCAACAAGGAAGUGACGGCUAACUACGUGCCAGCAGCCGCGGUAAAACGUAGGUCACAAGCGUUGUCCGGAAUUACUGGGUGUAAAGGGAGCGCAGGCGGGAAGACAAGUUGGAAGUGAAAUCUAUGGGCUCAACCCAUAAACUGCUUUCAAAACUGUUUUUCUUGAGUAGUGCAGAGGUAGGCGGAAUUCCCGGUGUAGCGGUGGAAUGCGUAGAUAUCGGGAGGAACACCAGUGGCGAAGGCGGCCUACUGGGCACCAACUGACGCUGAGGCUCGAAAGUGUGGGUAGCAAACAGGAUUAGAUACCCUGGUAGUCCACACCGUAAACGAUGAUUAUUAGGGUGUUGGAGGGAUUGACCCCUUCAGUGCCGCAGUUAACACAAUAAGUAAUCCACCUGGGGAGUACGACCGCAAGGUUGAAACUCAAAGGAAUUGACGGGGGCCCGCACAAGCAGUGGAGUAUGUGGUUUAAUUCGACGCAACGCGAAGAACCUUACCAAGUCUUGACAUCCCUUGACGAACAUAGAAAUAUGUUUUCUCUUCGGAGCAAGGAGACAGGUGGUGCAUGGUUGUCGUCAGCUCGUGUCGUGAGAUGUUGGGUUAAGUCCCGCAACGAGCGCAACCCUUACUGUCAGUUACUACGCAAGAGGACUCUGGCAGGACUGCCGUUGACAAAACGGAGGAAGGUGGGGAUGACGUCAAAUCAUCAUGCCCUUUAUGACUUGGGCUACACACGUACUACAAUGGCGUUAAACAAAGAGAAGCAAGACCGCGAGGUGGAGCAAAACUCAGAAACAACGUCCCAGUUCGGACUGCAGGCUGCAACUCGCCUGCACGAAGUCGGAAUUGCUAGUAAUCGUGGAUCAGCAUGCCACGGUGAAUACGUUCCCGGGCCUUGCACU
rnacentral:rRNA from 1 species